UCUGAAACGACUCUCGGCAACGGAUAUCUCGGCUCUCGCAUCGAUAAAAAACGUAGCGAA
rnacentral:rRNA from 1 species